rnacentral:rRNA from 1 species
UACGUAGGGUCCGAGCGUUGUCCGGAUUUAUUGGGCGUAAAGGGCUCGUAGGUGGCCAACUAAGUCAGACGUGAAAUCCCUCGGCUUAACCGGGGAACUGCGUCUGAUACUGGAUGGCUAGAGUUUGGGAGAGGGAUGCGGAAUUCCAGGUGUAGCGGUGAAAUGCGUAGAUAUCUGGAGGAACACCGGUGGCGAAGGCGGCAUCCUGGACCAACACUGACGCUGAGGAGCGAAAGCCAGGGGAGCAAACGGG